rnacentral:lncRNA from 1 species
UUUAUUGCUACAUAAUAAAUCCAGUAGAUUUAAUGGUGUUUCUUUUCCUUUAUCGAAGCUACCCAUCACAAAAAACAAGUGUUUUCAUCUAACCAAAACACGCACAUACUCCAUCUCUAAAUGCUUUGAAGAUAAAGAAAUCAACCGCAAUCCUGCAACUUUAGCUCGGAGAAUCCGAUAAUAAAAGAACAUGUGAUGAAUCAAGGGUGAUGGCAUCGAGUGAGUGUCACUUGCUGUCGGCGUUAGAGGCGACUGUCGCUCAAUUGCGUACAAGGUUAGUCUUUGAAAAAACUCUUUGCAUGUUAGAAAUCGGUGAUUGGGCAUUAUUUUGUUAUUGAAAAAUGAAAAUGGGUUUAUUAGUUUGUCAAAGGAUCUGCUUUGUUGCUAGUGUUGAUUGCUUUGUUCCGAAAGAUGUUUUGGAGUGAAGCCAAAUGAUGGAGUAGUAUGGAAGCAAAAGCGAAAUAUGUAAGUUUUUCCAAAUUAUUUACGUUUACUUGCAGUUAGAAGUAUAUGUGGGAUUGAGGACAUAUUUGCUUAAAAAAUUUAACUAAUGUUUCAUUCUUCCAUUGUAUUAUCAUUUUACUCAUAUUUUAUUACAAAGAAUAAAAUCAUAUUUUAUUAGUCUACGAGAAAAAUAAGAAUUGUUCCAUUACGUGAUUGUAAAGUGUAACUGUGAUUGAGGAAAUAACAUGCAGUCCGUUAAUCAGAAUUUAUUCAUGUGCAGAAAUACAAUAUUGAUAAGUUUAUAUGCAUUUCUCUCCAGAUUUGGUAUUUUAAUAUUGAAUUGAAAUAGGUUGUUGAACCGUUGCAAUAUCACUAUUAGUUUAUGUUUCCCUACAAGCUUGCUGACUAUCUCUGCCAUUUGUGAGUUCACUUUGGGUGAGUGUCUUGUUUACUGUAGUCUACAUAUAACCAGCUUUUAUCGAUACACAUGUUUGUUGAGUAUCAAGUUGUCUAUGGUAGCUAUAACAGUUCUGCACAGGUGUAUGACGACACUCCACUUAUAUAUGAAAUACAAUAUUGAUAUAUAAGUUUAUUCAUGUGCAGAAAUACAAUAUUGAUAAGUUUAUAUGCAUUUCUCUCCAGAUUUGGUAUUUUAAUAUUGAAUUGAAAUAUGUUGUUGAACCGUUGCAAUAUCACUAUUAGUUUAUGUUUCCCUACAAGCUUGCUAACUAUCUCUGCCAUUUGUGAGUUCACUUUGGGUGAGUGUCUUGUUUACUGUAGUCUACAUAUAACCAGCUUUUAUCGAUACACAUGUUUGUUGAGUAUCAAGUUGUCUAUGGUAGCUAUAACAAUUCUACACAGGUGUAUGACGACACUCCACUUAUAUAUGAAAUACAAUAUUGAUAUAUAAGUUUAUUCAUGUGCAGAAAUACAAUAUUGAUAAGUUUUUAUGCAUUUCUCUCCAAAUUUGGUAUUUUAAUAUUGAAUUGAAAUAUGUUGCUGAACCGUUGCAAUAUCACUAUUAGUUUAUGUUUCCCUACAAGCUUGAUGACUAUCUCUGCCAUUUGUGAGUUCACUUUGGGUGAGUGUCUUGUUUACUGUAGUCUACAUAUAACCAGU